UGCAAGUCGAGCGGACAGAUGGGAGCUUGCUCCCUGAUGUCAGCGGCGGACGGGUGAGUAACACGUGGGUAACCUGCCUGUAAGACUGGGAUAACUCCGGGAAACCGGGGCUAAUACCGGAUGCUUGAUUGAACCGCAUGGUUCAAUUAUAAAAGGUGGCUUUUAGCUACCACUUACAGAUGGACCCGCGGCGCAUUAGCUAGUUGGUGAGGUAACGGCUCACCAAGGCGACGAUGCGUAGCCGACCUGAGAGGGUGAUCGGCCACACUGGGACUGAGACACGGCCCAGACUCCUACGGGAGGCAGCAGUAGGGAAUCUUCCGCAAUGGACGAAAGUCUGACGGAGCAACGCCGCGUGAGUGAUGAAGGUUUUCGGAUCGUAAAACUCUGUUGUUAGGGAAGAACAAGUACCGUUCGAAUAGGGCGGUACCUUGACGGUACCUAACCAGAAAGCCACGGCUAACUACGCGCCAGCAGCCGCGGUAAUACGUAGGUGGCAAGCGUUGUCCGGAAUUAUUGGGCGUAAAGCGCGCGCAGGCGGUUUCUUAAGUCUGAUGUGAAAGCCCCCGGCUCAACCGAGGAGGGUCAUUGGAAACUGGGGAACUUGAGUGCAGAAGAGGAGAGUGGAAUUCCACGUGUAGCGGUGAAAUGCGUAGAGAUGUGGAGGAACACCAGUGGCGAAGGCGACUCUCUGGUCUGUAACUGACGCUGAGGCGCG
rnacentral:rRNA from 1 species